rnacentral:rRNA from 1 species
AUUGAACGCUGGCGGCAUGCCUUACACAUGCAAGUCGAACGGUAACAGGUCUUCGGAUGCUGACGAGUGGCGAACGGGUGAGUAAUACAUCGGAACGUGCCUAGUAGUGGGGGAUAACUACUCGAAAGAGUGGCUAAUACCGCAUGAGAUCUACGGAUGAAAGCAGGGGAUCGCAAAACCUUGUGCUACUAGAGCGGCCGAUGGCAGAUUAGGUAGUUGGUGGGAUAAAAGCUUACCAAGCCGACGAUCUGUAGCUGGUCUGAGAGGACGAUCAGCACCACGGGGACUGGGACCAGGCCCAGACUCCUACGGGAGGCAGCAGUGGGGAAUUUUGGACAAUGGGCGCAAGCCUGAUCCAGCAAUGCCGCGUGCAGGAUGAAGGCCUUCGGGUUGUAAACUGCUUUUGUACGGAACGAAAAGCCCUGGGUUAAUACCCUGGGGUCAUGACGGUACCGUAAGAAUAAGCACCGGCUAACUACGUGCCAGCAGCCGCAGUAA